AUCCUGCCUGGGCUCUGGCCUCUGCUCUGUCCUCCCUCUUGCUGUGUCUGCCCUGUCUCUGAGAAGCCUGGCGGCUUCUUAGUCUGGCUCAAUGUCUUCAACAAAGAAGACUUCCCAGUCCAUCAGGGAGAAACCCCGUGGACGUCCGUGUCAUGAUCGUUUCCCUCUCCACACCUCUUUCUGGAUGACUGGGCAGGUGUGGUGUUCCUGGAGCUCUGGGCUUCCAUACCUCUGUGGGACAGGGAAGCUCUCUCGGUCUCCAUGGCCCAAGUGAUGGCUGCGCGCUCGGUCCAGGAAGGGGGGGAGGCAAGCCCACCGUUCCCCACAUUGGCCUUCCAGGAAAGGCGGUGUUGCAUCCCACCUGCACUUCCUGUCUGAUCCUUGAGGGCCAACCGGUUCCUCCGCUCCUGGGGAAAGCGCCUUCUGGCACUGGCACUGAAUCUUUUGGCUGCCACGGAUGUCAGGGAGCCAACGGGACUGGGUUUUGGCUGGGUGUAGGGGAGGUUGCGUCAGGGGUACCUAGGCGGUGGCGGCGUGGGGGUGGGGUGUACUUGGUCCAAAGCUCUCGGCUCCUCUGGCGGGCCUCCCUGAAUGUGGCCUGGACUCGCGCGCAGGCCCUGUCUCGCAGGUUUGCAGGUGCGCUUGGCUUUUCCUCCGCUUUGUGGUGCAGGUCUCCGGUGGCCCCCGGGCGCACGCCUGGACAUCACCGUCCGUCUCGUCGUCGCCCCCUACGGCCUCAAAGACACACGCUCACUGCAUGUGCUCUUGGGGGACGUCAGUGCCACGUGUGGUCACACGGGCUCCAGCUCGGACUCGCCUCUGUCUGUCUUUGCCCGUGUCGCCGGAAGCCGCGUCGGGAUGCCGGAGCCCCCGGGCCUUGGAGAUGAAGGCAGGCCCCCGCUCCACCCAGGAAGGAGGGAGGCAGUGGGCUCAUGGGUCAGUGCCGUUGCAGACGACAGCACGCCUUGCGACCCUGGGGAUCUCUCCGUGCCCCGGCGAGACCCUUUCCGCCUCACUGCAUUGUAACCCCAUUCCCGAUCACCCGGUGCGAUCCAUCGUCGGAUCCCAAGAGGAGUCCGCGCAGCCCAGCCAGCACCCCGAAGCUCCUCCUUCACCGGGAACCGAUGCAGAAGACCGAUCAAGGAGGUCCUGACGACAGGACUCCUAUGGGUCCGACCCUGGGUCUCCCGCAGGCCCCUCUGGUAGUCCUCUUCCCACCCGCCGUCCCGGGCUGCGCCGCAGCCGCCGCCGCAACCUCCAGCACUGCCGCCCCAGUCCCCGCAGCCGCGGCGUCGCUGCCAUUUUUUAAAGGGUCCGCAGCCUGACUCUGCCGAGUAAGGCGGGGGUGGGGCGGGUGAGUUGGCCUCACCAGUGCGCAUGCGCGAGGCCCGAGCCGCCGCUUUGGUCACAGUGAUCGCCACCGUUGCCCGGGGUUGGGUCCCUGAGACUUGUCUAAGCAGGAGCCCUGUGUGAUCGUACGUCAGAGUCGGGGCUGAGACCUGUCCUGGCCAGGGCAGUUACCAGGAAGGUCUCCGGAGGCCAGGAUUCGCCGAGGUUUCACCAGCAGGAAGAAACGUCAGGAGGAACAAACCUCAGACAGAUCGCCGGGGAGGCAGCGCGGGAUCCCAGCCUCAGGCGUGCGCGGACGGUGUGCGGGAAGGGAGUGUAUCCUGGUGUAUGACAGCAUAUAGUAGAGACCAUUGUCAAUUAGGGCCUGUGAACUGAGACAGGGUGACUGGCUAAGUCCACAACCCAUUAGAAACCCAGAAAUAAUCAAAUCAUGGAGAGAUUAGACCAGGGACAAUAAAUAUGGAUUAGGGAAGAAUGUGUUAACUCAGCAGGCCAGGGUUUCUUCAACCUGCACAUUCAAAGAGGGAUCAUGGAAAGGAAGCUGAAUUUGCUGAGUUUUGCCACGUGGGCAUUGCAUGCCUAUGUGAUUAACCACCAAUAAAAACCUGGGACAUCAAAAAAUAAAUAAGCUGCUUUAAUUGCCAAGAAUUCACAUGUGGUUGUAUGCAGCUUUACUGGGAGAUUGAAGUGUAUCUGCAUGUGAUUCUACUGUGAUGGACACUUGUAAAUUUGUGCCUGGAGUCUCCUGGAAUUUGCCCUGAGAAUCUUUUUCCUUUGUUGAUAUGAAUCUGCAUCCUUUUGUUUUAAUAAACGAUAAACAUGAGUAUAA